GCUGCCAUGAAGCGGGCCGAUCACCUGGAGGAGCUGCUGGAGCAGCGCCGGCGGCCACCCCCGACUGCCCAGUGAAGCCGCCUGCAGGGUGGAGACCGGCCGGAGGUGGCCAGGUCCUGUGGCUGGUGCUUGGGCCGAGUCCUGGCUCUGUGCGGGCUGGGGGCUGCACUCUGGCUGAGGCGCAGCCUGCUGCCCGGUCAGCCCUGUGCUCAGGAUGCCGGGCAGGCUGCCUGUGGCUGUUUUACAGUAAAAGAGGUGGUUUUAGAGUCCUGUGUCACCUGCCUUGUUUUCUCUCCGGGCCGGGGACACUGCAGAGGCCAGGCCUGGCUCUGGCUCCUACCGUGCUCCCCGUCUCCCUCCUCGGCUGUCUAGACUGACCAGGAAAUGGCACGUGCCCAGCAGCCCCUCUGCUCUCAGCACCCCCUGCUGCCCCUGUCUGUUCCCUGCCUUGCCCUGUGGCCCUAAUCCUCAGCUCCGGUGCCCAACUCAGAGAAUGGCCCUCUGUCCUCACCUGGCCUGCGGGAGGCUCCACCCAUCUGGGUGCCUGAAGACCCUGGGUUGCUGUUGUGCCCCUCAUGACUGGAAAGACCCCAGGGGAGCAGGCGGCCCUCUCCCGAGACCCAGCCCCUGUGAGCUGUGCCUGGAGCCCUCUGGAAACGGGGACUGGACAGGCGCCCGAGGAGGGCGGGCACUGCCGAGCCUCACCCUCUGCAGCCUCUGCCUUGGCACAUGAGCUCAGAGCCUGCUCAGUGCCCUUCACCCCGAGGGUUGCCAGCACAGACGGGAAGCCCUCAUGGGCAGGCAGAGUCCUGAAGCGCGUGGAGGGAGAUGGGGGUCUACUCAGCAGGCACCAUCAUCCAGGAUCAGGCCUUGGUGUUGGGAUGCUGCCCAACACUGUCCCAGCGUCGCCAGGGGGCCCACCACCCGAGCCUCACCCUCCUGCCUGCAGUUGGUGUGUAGGACCCCGGCAGCUUUUGUGCAGUGUGGUGCUGCUGGCUGUGGCUGGGGCUGCUCUGAGGGUCCCCCACUGAGGGCCCAGCCAGGCUCAGGACUCCUCUGUCCUGUACCACCUGUGACAGUCUGCGUCCUGGUCACUACUGGAUACAAGCCACGUCUGCUCCUGGUCUAGCCCCUCCCAGAGAAGAACUUGGCUGGUCCCUGAGCUCAGGCUGGCUUGGAGGCUGUGUCUGGCAGAGGGUGCAGACUGCUGGGCCCCUCUGCUCACCAUCUGCAGGACAGGGCUGCUGACCAGAAGGAAGAUCCCGAGCCCUCAGCUACUCCUCCUUCAGGCUGUGGGCCAAAGGUCAGGGCAGGGGCAGCAGAACUGCCACCCAGCAGGACGUGAUAUGUGGAGCUCCUGUGGGAAGGGGUCCCUGAUGUGGUGGGGUGCCCGGAGUGGAAGAGUCUGUGAUCAUGGGCGAGGACGCCCAGAGUCGACCGGAGCCACCCUCGGUUCCUGGACUGUAGAGUGGGUGGGCUACUCCUGAGCCACCUUCCUUUGCGAGGUCCCAGCAGCCACAGCCAUCUCUGUGCACUCAGGUCUUGUGGUGCCCACGUCCCCACAGGGGCUGCAGAACUUUCCUGUGUGUGGACGGAUCACAUUUCGUUUGUCUGCCCCUCUGCUGAUGGACGCCUGGGUGCCGCGUUUCCUCCUGUCCCUGCCUGCAGUGCUUCUGGAGAAUGGCCAGAAGCAGAGGUGCUGGACCCCAUGGAGGGGCCGCUGCUGCGUGGGCCCGUGUCUCCACGUUGCCGCCUUCCGAUCGUAGCCUCCUGUGGGUGUGGGAGGGCCUCAUGGUGGUUUGGUCUGGUGUCCUUGAGACUCGGGAUGCUGAGCGCCUUCCCAGGUGCUUCCUGGCCAUGCCCGUGUCUGCUCUGAGAAGCGUCUCUCAGUUCUUGUCUGUUUUUGAAUCACAUUGCUCGACUUCUGUUGUUGAACUUCAGGAAGUCUCUGUACACUCCCCACUGAUUCCCUGUCAGAUAAACAACUGCAACAUGUUCUCCAGUCUCUCUCUCUUUUUGGGGGUACUGCAGAUUGAACCGAGCCUGCUCUACCACUGGACCACAUCCCCAGUCCUUUUUAUUUUUUAUUUUGAGACAGGGACUCACUAAGUUGCUUAGGU